rnacentral:tRNA from 1 species
UAGAAAUUAGUUAAAUUUUAACAUUAAAAUGUCAUUUUAAAAAAAUUAUAUUAUAUAAUAUUUCUAA